rnacentral:hammerhead_ribozyme from 1 species
CUACUGUUGAUGAGUCCCAAACAGAACGAAACAGCUCUGUCCAGUAC